rnacentral:rRNA from 1 species
UACGUAGGUGGCAAGCGUUUGUCCGGAUUUAUUGGGUUUAAAGGGUGCGUAGGCGGCUUAUUAAGUCAGUGGUGAAAUACUCUAGCUCAACUAGAGGGGUGCCAUUGAUACUGAUGAGCUUGAGUACAGAUGAGGUAGGCGGAAUUGACGGUGUAGCGGUGAAAUGCUUAGAUAUCGAGAGGAACACCUGAGGUGAAGACGGGUUGCUGGGCCGACACUGACGCUGAGUGCGCGAAAGCCAGGGGAGCAAACGG